GGGGCAUUAGCUCAGUUGGUAGAGCGCUGCCUUUGCAAGGCAGAUGUCAGGAGUUCGAGUCUCCUAUGCUCCACAA
rnacentral:tRNA from 2 species